rnacentral:lncRNA from 1 species
ACUCUGGUUUCUUUCUGUCAUUGAGCCAUAAUAUUAAUUCUUUCCACAGAAAAUUCUCCUGCCAGAGAUAAAUACUAAGACUUGAGGGAAGCCCGUGGAGGCAGGAUGUUUGUUUUAGGCUCAAAUUCAUCCUUGAGAAGGCUGGCCUUUCACCAUGCCCUAUGAAACUGGCAGUGCUCAACAAUGUGGAAUUCACUCCCAAAUCUGCUACACUAAAUCUGUAAACUAACUCCAGAGGAUGAAGCAAAGUUUUGUCUGUGACCAUAUGCCUGCAAAUAAGGUGUCUCUCUCUGUCUCAUCUUCAGUAUAGGUGGAAACAGAUAUAUUGUUAUCUGUUUUAUUUCUGCCCUCAACUAUUCGAAGAUUCAGAUGGAAAUAAGGUAAUGGUCUAUUUAAAAAAAAAAAAAAACUUUUCUUAGGAGACUGAAAUGGAGCAAAUUAUAUUCCAUGCAUGUAAGACUAUGUCCAAAUGAACCCCAUUAUUAUGUAUAACUCUAAAGCACU